rnacentral:rRNA from 1 species
UAACAAGGAUUCCCCUAGUAACUGCGAGUGAAGCGGGAAAAGCUCAAAUUUAAAAUCUGGCGGUUUUGCCGUCCGAGUUGUAAUCUGGAGAAGCGUUUUCCGCGUCGGACCGUGUACAAGUCUCUUGGAACAGAGCGUCAUAGAGGGUGAGAAUCCCGUCCAUGACACGGACUCCCGGUGCUUUGUGAUACGCUCUCGAAGAGUCGAGUUGUUUGGGAAUGCAGCUCAAAAUGGGUGGUAAAUUCCAUCUAAAGCUAAAUAUUGGCGAGAGACCGAUAGCGAACAAGUACCGUGAGGGAAAGAUGAAAAGCACUUUGGAAAGAGAGUUAAACAGUACGUGAAAUUGUUGAAAGGGAAACGCUUGAAGUCAGUCGCGUCUUACGGGACUCAGCCUUGCCUCGGCUUGGUGUACUUCCUGUAGGACGGGUCAACAUCGAUUUUGACCGGUGGACAAAGGGGAUGGGAAUGUGGCAAUCUUCGGGUUGUGUUAUAGCCCUCUUCCAUAUACAUCGGUUGGGAUCGAAGACCGCAGCGCGCCUUUAUGGCCGGGGGCUUGCCCCACGUACCGCGCUUAGGAUGUUGGCAUAAUGGCUUUAAGCGACCCGUCUUGAAACACGGACCAAGGAGUCUAACAUGCUUGCGAGUGUUAGGGUGGAAAACCCUUGCGCGUAAUGAAAGUGAAAGUUGAGAGCCUUCUUUUGGAGGUGCAUCGACGCCCGGCCCUGAAGUUCUCUGACGGUGCUGCGGUAGAGCACGUAUGUUGGGACCCGAAAGAUGGUGAACUAUGCCUGAAUAGGGCGAAGCCAGAGGAAACUCUGGUGGAGGCUCGUAGCGAUUCUGACGUGCAAAUCGAUCGUCAAAUUUGGG